UGACAGUUCCAAAUUUUAUAAUAUCUUUGAUGUCAUAUCAGCUCAUUGUGCUCAUGACUCUGCAUUUUAAUUCUCCUUAUAUCUAGUCUUUUUUUUUGUUGACCUUCAUACUGGAAGAUGACACUGUUGAUAGUGUUUGCUAUCUGGGAGAAUCUUUUUGGGUGAAAAGAUUAUUACUGUUCCAUUUAUUCUUGCCCUUCUAAAGGAUCUUUGGUUUGUGCCAUUUUUGAAGACUGACUUCAUUUGCAGUUCUAUAUUAGCCCUGAUGAUGAAAUUUUCAGUGCUUUCUGUUUUAUUCUAUUUUUUGUAGAUUAUAGUGGGACCAGUCUCAUUAGGUUGAAUCUACAGCCUAUGUUGGUGUUAAUCCAGUGUUAAAAGGACCUGAACAAAGUCUGCUCAAACCUCUUGCUGUGAACCAGCAGAACUUUUGGACAGUUGGCCCUCUGUAUCCACGGGUUCCUUAUUCUUGGAUGUGGAGGGCUGACUGUAAAGGAUUUUGUAAAGGAGCAUCCCUGGAUUUUGGUGUCCACAGAGGGUCUUGGAACCAGUCUCCUUCUGGUACCAAGGGACAACUGUAUGUAUAAUUACACUCUUGUGUGCAAACGUACCUGUAUUCUGUUGAGUGAGUGUGCUGCUCAAGAUUGCUUUCAGUCUUUUACUGUUAGAAGUGAUGUGGUAUGUGUCGUUCCCCUCUCAUGUUUGAACUUUUUUUUUCAUUAUUUUAGUUAGCUUUUUUCUGAAGUUUGAAAAAAAUGCAUUCUAAAACCUACAUAUUUUAGCCUAGUGACUGAGUGUUGCUUCAUUUGAAUGUGAACUUGUUGUGGUCUUAAUGAUUUAUAGAUUAUUUUAUCAAGAGAGU
rnacentral:lncRNA from 1 species